GGAGGAGUACCGAAGUGGUCAUAACGGCACCGACUCGAAAUCGGUUGGUCCGGGCAACCGGCACGUGGGUUCGAAUCCCACCUCCUCCG
rnacentral:tRNA from 1 species